rnacentral:misc_RNA from 1 species
CCUUUUCUUACAGUUUCUUUCGUUGAGUCUUGUUCCUCUCCACCCUUAGCACAGCGCGCACUAAACACGCGCACGCACAACUGUCAAACUCUCUCCCCCGAACAUACCGACAUUCUGGCUUUUACGCUCAGCGUCGGUAUCAACUUGCUUACAGACAAGUGGCCCGCACUUGCCCUGGCCGUUUUGGUUUUUGUAGUCGCCGGCUUGUUUCCCGUCGGAAGAAAGAAGAAAACGGAGUUCCCGUGCUAGCCUGUGAUCGUACCGCCACCUGUCCGCUCUAUCCGACGAUCCUCCAGCUGCAUCUGCACACGGAUACCGCGCAUCUUCCUGCUUUCUACUUGUCUUCUUCACGCCAGGUUUCUCUGCAGAGCCCGCACAACGUUCGCUGAGCUGUUCCUAUUUCGGCGCACUCGGCUGCACUGUCACGUCGUACAGUGUGCUGGGUGCUUCUACGCCUUUUCCCGCCGGCGUUCUAUUCCAGUUUUCGUUUUCAUCUCGUCCCCGCCUGUCAGACCCUCUCUACGACAUCUUCUCGGUAGUUGGAGCUGUCCGUCAAGUCACUGGGGGGGGGUGUCAGCGACAGCGCCGGAGGAGAAAGACGCGCGCAGAACGCACGUGCUGUUUUUGUCACGCGAGCGCCAGCCGUUCCCCUUUUUUUUUUCUUGUCUCUCGCCCGUGUCAAGUGUGCGCCAAGGACACGCAUCACCUAUAAAUUCCCGCCUGCAUCCACGAACGCAUAGCUGCAAACCCCCGAAACACAGCGCACGGCAAGAUGGAGGCCGAGAGCAAAGUGUUGAUCGACCAGAAGUAUCUGGACAAGCAAAGCCGGACCAUCGGCACCUAUGGCCUCGAGACCAUGGCAAAGCUGAUCGCCUUCAAGGUUAUCAUUGUUGGCUGCGGUGGCGUCGGGAUCGAGAUCGCGAAGAACCUGGCACUCGCUGGCAUUCACACCAUCCGCUUCUAUGACCCUCGGAAGCCGACGGCUCAGGACAUGGGCGUGAAUUUUGCCGUCACGCCGCAGUCCAUGGCAUCGGGCAAGACGAUGGCGGAGCUGUCUGCCGCCUAUAUUUCUGAGCUGAACCCAAACACGCGCGUUCGAGUGCUUGCAGAGCUGACGACGGCCACCGUCUCGGACAACGUCGCCCUCAUCUUCACGGCCGCCGCGCCGGAUCUCAGCCUGACGACGCUGAGCGAAUGGAACGCUUUCUGCCACAAUCACACGCCGGCCAUCUCAUUCGUGUUGGCACUUCAAACGGGCACGAUGGGUUCCGUGUUCGCGGACCACGGCCCUUCCUUCGUCGUCAAGGACGCCGACGGGCGACCCAUGCUACAGAAGCUGAUCACGGAAGUCGUGACACUGCGUGACAAGACGGGAGAGAUGUACACGCGCAUCCGCUACGAGACACCAGAGGGGCAGACACCCGGGGCCUUGCGCGACUAUACGCAGAUCAAGCUGAGCGAGGUACAGGGACUCCUGAAACCGGACGGCACCUCCGUGAAUGGUCAGGUGUAUGACGGCGUCGUCUGCCCCUCCGACCCGCGCGAUACGGUGCGUGUGUACCCGGCGUUCGAGACGCAGGGGUACAGCCCGUAUGAGACAGGCGGCUUUCUUCACGAGUUGAAGGAGGUGAGGGUGCUCUCCUUUCGGCCCCUCAGUGAGGCGCUGGCGGCGCCAGGCGCUUUCGUCCCAGUGAGCCCGAUGAUGGACAACUCCGAGGAGUCAGUGACCCAUGUGACGCUGCAUGCGCUGCUGCGUUACGCCGACGCGCACUCGGGAAAGCUGCCUGAGCUGCACAACGCAGCGCAGGCCGCUGAGGUAGUUGAGCUGGCCAAGAAGGUGCUGGAGGAGAAUAAGGCGAUGCCGGCGCCGCCGGAGCAGCGCACCACCGGCAAGCCCGGCAAUGCGGAGUUCCCGUACAAGGUGCCGCCGCCGCCACCGCCGGCGCCGUUGGUCCUCGAAAACCUGGAUGAAAAGGCGGUGAUGGCGGAAGCGCUCCUCGCCCGUGCUGAGCUGCAACCCCUCGCCUCCUUCUUUGGUGCUGUCGUAGCGCAGGAGAUUGUGAAGAUUACUGGCAAGUACUCGCCGAUUCACCAGUGGUUCCACCUCUCCUGCGCAGCCGUGCGGCCCGAACGAGCCGACCACAGCAGUGAAGAAUUCCGCCCGAUGAACUCGCGCUACGAUCACAUCAUCUCCAUCUUUGGCAAGGGCUUCCAGCAGCUGCUGCAGAACCUGCGCCUCUUCAUGGUUGGGUGCGGGGCACUCGGCUGCGAGAACGUCAAGAACUUCGCACUGUGUGGCAUCACCUGCGGCACCGGCGGCUCCCUCGUCGUGACCGACAACGACCGCAUCGAGGUAUCAAACCUCAGCCGGCAGUUUCUCUUCCGCGAGGAGAACGUCGGGCAGCCCAAGUCGGCGGCUGCGGCUGCCCGCAUGCGGCAGAUGAAUCCCGAUGCGAACGUGGACGCUCGCCAAGACUUCAUUGGCACGACCACCGAGCACCUCUACCCCGACACUUUCUGGCAGUCGCUGAACGUUGUCGUCAACGCGCUGGACAACAUAGAGGCCCGCCUCUAUGUCGACCAGCAGUGCGUCCGCUUUCAGAAGGUGCUUGUCGAGGCAGGCACAAUGGGCACCGGCGGCAACGUCGACAUUAUCGUUCCCGGCAGGACGUCGUCGUACGCCGACGGCGGCGCGGCGGAUCAGACGGGCGGCAUUCCCAUGUGCACGCUGCGCAACUUUCCGUACAUCUACGACCACUGCAUAGAGUGGGCCCGCGCGCAGUUCGACGAUAUGUUCGUGUCCCCAAUGCAAACGGCGCAGCAGAUCAUCGAAGACCCUGCCGCCUUCACCCAGCGCAUCCACCACGAGGUUUCUAGUGGUUCAAGCGCUGGCGAGCGGCGUAGCCUCAUUGACAAGAACGUGGGCCCGCUCAAGUUGCUGAAGCGGACGCUGACGAUUCUUGCCGAUGGGCCGACGAUGGACAGGUGUGUCGCGCUUGGCUGGGAACAGCUCUUCAAGAUGUUCCGUGACCGCAUUCUAGAUCUUCAGGCGGCCUUCCCGCGCGGCGCCAAAAAGAAAAACGGCGAGGAUUUCUGGUCGGGACAUCGCAAGUAUCCAACAGCGCUCCAGGUGACGGCCGCCGACAUUACGACGAAUCCAGACGCAAAGAACUUCCUGGUGGCGGCGAUCAACCUGUAUGCGUGCAUGUUCGGGGUGCACCCGCCCAAGCAUGAGGCGCGCUUCAACGAUGAGAAGAACCGCUGGAUGCAGGAGUACCGUACGGACGCGUGGAUUCAGGCAGAGGUGAGCAAGCUGUCGACGCCGGCGUACGUGGCUGGCUUCGUCGACAACCUCGACGACGACUUAGCAGCCAAUGCGCAGGAGGGCAAGCAAGUUACCAUGGAGGAGUCCGAGGCCGAGCUGCAAGGGCUGCUGGCGGAUGUUGCCGCUCUGGCAACCAAAUGCAAGGGCAGCAGGGCGGCAGCGCUGGAGUUCGAGAAGGACGACGAUGAUAACUUCCAAAUCGACUUUGUCGCUGCGGCGAGCAACCUCCGCGCUGAGAAUUACGGAAUUCCGACGCAGGAUCGGAUGAAAGUGAAGCUUGUCGCCGGCAAGAUCAUUCCUGCCAUCGCGACAACAACGUCUGCCGUGACGGGCCUGGGGCUUAUCGAGCUCUUCAAGGUCUUGCAGAAUAAGGACGUCUCGGUGCUGCGUAAUGGUAUGCUGGACGUGGGCACGAACAACUACGUUCUCUUUGAGCGCGAUCUGCCCAUCAAGAACUUCACCAAAGUGGUGGCCACCUACAUCCCGGAGCAGGACUACACGUACAAAAAGAAGGUCAUUCGCGUGCCGGAGGGGUUCACGAAGUACGACAUGAUUCGCAUCCCUGUCACGCCGGCGACCACGGUGAAGGCGUUUGCGGCGGCGCUCGAGGCUGUGCUAAACAAGACCCUCCCCGAUGGUGUCGACCAGGCGUACGAGGUGGACGGGCUCGGUGUCGGCAAGGGCAUGCUGUGGAACGGCCGCUCAAGCCACGCAAACACGAAUGCGUCGCUCAUGAAGGUAAUUGAGCAGCAAAAGGCAAGUGAGGCAGGCGGCACGCUACCGGCUCCGUUUUGGCAGAACCGCUUCCAGUUCUUUGACGUGUCCGCGACGGUUUCUAUCGACGACGGCGAUGACACUGUGGACGAGGUAGAUGUGGAGACGGCUACCGUGUGCCUUGAAAUUCAGCAGUAGCCGAAUCCGAAGCUGCUGACUGCAAGACCCCCCCCCCGGCGUGCGAGGGGGAAAGGGAUAAGGAGAACGGGCUCUUGGCGCACUGAAGUGUGACCUCUGUAGGCGUUCACCCGUUCCGCACAGAUCACAUAUCGCACAAGGGCUGCUGAGCUUUCUCCAGUGAGCAACGUUCUCGCGGGCGCAUGUGCCCAGAAGGAUUUCAAUCGUAUUUGUGGAUUAUCGACGCGGAGCACGAGUCGCGGGCUUUGUCUCCUCGUGUGGAAGGAGGGAAAGAUGCACGCUUAGGCAGUGGUGUGCUCUUCGCCGCUGUUACUGCUUCCCUUUGCUUGUUUUGGCACCAGCGCCGGUUGAGCUUCUGCACCCGUACGUGUGUGUGUGUGUGUGCGGGCGUUUACUUACUUUUUCUUCGCUAUCCUUGGGUGCAUCGCCGCCCUUGAUGGCACCGACCACCUCAGUGUGUGAUAUCCAGGGGCCUAGUGUCCACAUUCUUUGUAGGGGAAGCCAAAAGCCUGCAGCUUCCACUCGGGUACGGCUGUCGGACUCUCGGCGUCGGCGAACGGGUCUGGACGGGCGCGGUGCCGAAGAGACGUGCGGUCAUGAUCACGUUUGGACCAGCCCACUCGGCAUUUGUGUCGACAACGCAACAGAGACACGCUUCCGCCUACAAGUGUUCUUCCGUUGCUGCGCUGCGGCGAUGAUGAGCGGAAUCCUGGACCGAGCCUGCGCGGUGCGCAGUGGAGUGGCAAUAACCUGCAAGAUGCCAGACACUGUUUGGGUGUACCGGUGCUCUUGACAUAGUCGCAGCGCCGCAGAGGUAGGGGAAGGGUGGCUGUUUUGCAUAUAUUCACUGAAGUGCUCAUUGUAGAGUGACUCGUUGAAGAAAAGGACAAAUUCAAAGUCUUUCGAAGAGCCGCAUGUAUAUGUGUACGUAGCGCGCAUCUGUGGCGAUGUAGCCAUCCUGAUUGGCUAGCCGCCAUUCGAUGGUAAGAGCAGCGGCGGCGAGGGCUUCAUCCCCUACAAGUGCGGCAAG